rnacentral:tRNA from 1 species
GCCCGGAUGGUGGAAUGGUAGACACGAGGGACUUAAAAUCCCUUAGCUAUUGCAGCUGUGCGGGUUCAAGUCCCGCUUCGGGCACCC